GAUGAACGCUGGCGGCGUGCCUAAUACAUGCAAGUCGAGCGGGUGUAGCAAUACAUCAGUGGCAGACGGGUGAGUAACACGUGGGAACCUUCCUAGGGGUUCGGAAUAACUCAGGGAAACUUGAGCUAAUACCGAAUACGUGCGAGAGCAGAAAGAUUUAUCGCCGAAGGAUCGGCCCGCGUCCGAUUAGCUAGUUGGUGAGGUAAUGGCUCACCAAGGCGACGAUCGGUAGCUGGUCUGAGAGGAUGAUCAGCCACACUGGGACUGAGACACGGCCCAGACUCCUACGGGAGGCAGCAGUGGGGAAUAUUGGACAAUGGGCGCAAGCCUGAUCCAGCCAUGCCGCGUGAGUGAUGAAGGCCCUAGGGUUGUAAAGCUCUUUCGCCAGGGACGAUAAUGACGGUACCUGGAUAAGAAGCCCCGGCUAACUUCGUGCCAGCAGCCGCGGUAA
rnacentral:rRNA from 1 species